rnacentral:rRNA from 1 species
UAAUACCGGAUAGAUCAAAGAAACUGGAAUGUUCUUUGGUCCAAAACUCUGGUGCCCAAGGAUAGGUCUGUGGCCUAUCAGGUAGUAGUGGGUGUAGCGUACCUACUAGCCUACGACGGGUAAGGGUUGUGAGAGCAAAGUCCCUGAGAUGGAUUCUGAGACAUGAAUCCAGGCCCUACGGGGUGCAGCAGGCGCGAAAACUUUACACUGCGGGAAACCGCGAUAAGGGGACCCCGAGUGCCAGCACCUAGUGCUGGCUGUCCAGCUGUCCAAAUAACAGUUGUAAGCAAGGGCCGGGCAAGACCGGUGCCAGCCGCCGCGGUAACACCGGCGGCCCGAGUGGUAGCCGUUAUUAUUGGGUUUAAAGGGUCCGUAGCCGGCCUAUUAAGUCUCUUGGGAAAUCUGGCGGCUCAAUCGUCAGGCGUCC